rnacentral:rRNA from 1 species
GAUGAACGCUGGCGGCGUGCCUAAUACAUGCAAGUCGAGCGAACGGACGAGAAGCUUGCUUCUCUGAUGUUAGCGGCGGACGGGUGAGUAACACGUGGAUAACCUACCUAUAAGACUGGGAUAACUUCGGGAAACCGUAGCUAAUACCGGAUAAUAUUUUGAACCGCAUGGUUCAAAAGUGAAAGACGGUCUUGCUGUCACUUAUAGAUGGAUCCGCGCUGCAUUAGCUAGUUGGUAAGGUAACGGCUUACCAAGGCAACGAUGCAUAGCCGACCUGAGAGGGUGAUCGGCCACACUGGAACUGAGACACGGUCCAGACUCCUACGGGAGGCAGCAGUAGGGAAUCUUCCGCAAUGGGCGAAAGCCUGACGGAGCAGCGCCGCGUGAGUGAUGAAGGUCUUCGGAUCGUAAAACUCUGUUAUUAGGGAAGAACAUAUGUGUAAGUAACUGUGCACAUCUUGACGGUACCUAAUCAGAAAGCCACGGCUAACUACGUG